AUAGUGUUUACGAAUGUUGGACAUGAGCUUCUCAGGAAGCUGGCUACCAGGGUAAAGCUGAGUGAGAUUCCUCACAACGGUUCCCCAAACGAGGUUAUUAUUGUUACUACCGCGACAAGUAUUGUCAGUUUUGGAAGAGUCGAGGUUGAUGUUAAGGUUAAUGUUGAGUGUGUUUUUUAUCGAAGCAAUAGCCUCAGAAACAUUGCGGGUGAGUUUGUUGAACUUCUUGUGAAUGAUUGAAAUUUAUCAUUUCUAGCAAAAAAAAAAAAAAAAAAAAAAGCAAAACCCAUCACAAAAACAAACAGAAAAACCAAAAAACAAAUAUCAAAUUUGGGAAUGAGAAAGGAACCUAGGAGGCAGCGAAUCAUAGUGUUUACGAAUGUUGGACAUGAGCUUCUCAGGAAGCUGGCUACCAGGGUAAAGCUGAGUGAGAUUCCUCACAACGGUUCCCCAAACGAGGUUAUUAUUGUUACUACCGCGACAAGUAUUGUCAGUUUUGGAAGAGUCGAGGUUGAUGUUAAGGUUAAUGUUGAGUGUGUUUUUUAUCGAAGCAAUAGCCUCAGAAACAUUGCGGGUGAGUUUGUUGAACUUCUUGUGAAUGAUUGAAGAGUCUUUGUUGUU
rnacentral:lncRNA from 1 species